rnacentral:tRNA from 1 species
GGUGGUUCAGUGGUAGAGCACUUGUCUUGCAUGCAUGAGGCCCUGGGUUCAAUUCCUCAGCACCA